rnacentral:sRNA from 1 species
GUGGCCGGGAGAUGAUGGCUGAUGAAGAGGAAGAAGUCAAGCCGAUCUUGCAGAAAUUGCAGGAACUCGUGGAUCAGCUCUACUCAUUUCGAGACUGCUAUUUCGAGACACAUAGUGUUGAGGAUGCUGGGAGGAAGCAACAGGAUGUGCGGAAGGAGAUGGAGAAAACCCUACAGCAGAUGGAAGAAGUAGUGGGUUCUGUCCAGGGCAAGGCACAAGUUCUGAUGCUAACUGGGAAAGCACUAAAUGUGACUCCUGACUAUAGCCCUAAGGCUGAGGAGCUUCUGUCAAAGGCUGUGAAGCUGGAGCCCGAGCUGGUGGAAGCCUGGAACCAGCUGGGUGAGGUGUACUGGAAAAAAGGGGAUGUUGCAGCUGCCCACACCUGCUUCUCAGGAGCCCUCACCCAUUGCAGGAACAAAGUCUCCUUGCAAAACCUGUCAAUGGUGCUUCGUCAGCUGCGGACUGACACUGAAGAUGAACAUUCUCACCAUGUCAUGGACAGUGUCCGACAGGCUAAGUUGGCUGUUCAGAUGGAUGUCCAUGAUGGCCGCUCCUGGUAUAUUCUUGGGAAUUCGUAUCUUUCCCUUUACUUCUCUACUGGCCAGAACCCUAAGAUCUCCCAGCAAGCCCUCAGUGCCUAUGCCCAAGCAGAGAAAGUUGACAGAAAAGCUUCUAGCAAUCCUGACCUUCAUCUGAACAGGGCGACGUUGCAUAAAUAUGAAGAGAGUUAUGGGGAGGCCCUGGAGGGCUUCUCUCGGGCUGCAGCCCUGGACCCUGCCUGGCCAGAGCCCCGGCAACGAGAGCAACAACUUCUGGAAUUCCUGGAUAGAUUAACCAGCCUCCUUGAGAGUAAGGGAAAGGUGAAGACCAAAAAGCUGCAGAGCAUGCUGGGAAGCUUGCGCCCAGCCCAUCUAGGCCCUUGCAGUGAUGGGCACUAUCAGUCAGCCUCUGGGCAGAAAGUGACCCUGGAGCUCAAGCCACUGAGUACGCUUCAGCCUGGGGUGAACAGCGGUGCCGUCAUCCUGGGAAAGGUGGUAUUUAGCCUCACCACAGAGGAGAAAGUCCCCUUGUGAGUUUCUCUUGGAUUUCCCCCGUUUUACCCUUUUGAACUAAUUGCUCUCACUUCCUGUUCUUUCCCUGGCAGUUGAGGAGAUUGUCAGUGGUCACAGAUUUGUGACUUCUGAUUUCCUUCUGUGACUAUCCCAUGGGCAGAUAUUGUCUGGGUGAUGUUUAACCAUCUUUUGAUCAGAGGCUUUUGUAGAUUCUGUCACUGCCCAUUUUGUAUCCCUGAGUUUGGUGCUAUGUGGAUUCCUAUAUCCAUAGUUGAAAUUUGGCAGGACAUAUUUUUUUAUAAGACAGAAACCUCAAAAUUCUUCUGUCCCUUUGCAUUUUCAUGAUCAUAGAAGUUGAAGGAGGACAAAUUUCUUAGUCCUGUUUGUACUUAGGUAUACUUAGUUCUGAAAAGUGAGCUUUGAGUUAUAAUUUAAAGUCUGGUUGGGAGAUUGUCUUAGAUGUCAUUCAACUAAUAUUUAUUGAGUGUGUAGUAUAUGUGUCGUAGGGAGUGAGAAAAAAGAAAUGUAAAGGACCCAGGUGCAGGUGCUUCUAGCAGCAGAGGAAAUGAAUUAAGAAUAUUUGUUUAGAAAAUUUUUGGAUCUUGAAAAGUUAGGGUUUAGUGAAUGCCACCACUCCUUGGUCCUUCACUCACUUCCUAAUCCCUGGUUGACCGGUUUCCCCUUUCUCUUUUCUACUGAAAUUGUUAUUUUCCUAGGAUCACCAUUGUCUUUCUAGGCACUGGAUCCAGCAACUUCUAUUGCAUGGUUCCAAAACAUUCUGACUUAUUUCUCACUAUUGCUUUUCACAUCCUUUCUGUUCAUCUAAACAGAAAUAUUCACAAUUCCCAUUAUAUGCCCAAGCUUUCUCCAUGGCAUUUUCUAGGGGUUUGUGUGUUUGACGAGUUGAAGGGCAAAAAGAUAGUUGAGAACAGUUUAGUUUACUAGAGCAAAUCCUAGAGCUGAGAAGAAUUAGAAAGGGAUAUAGACAAAGGUAGGUUUUGGAGGACCUUGAGAACAAAUAGAUAUUUUGCCACUCCUUGGUUUCUCUUUUUCUGCCUAACUUUUAAAUCUUAGGUUUCCAGGACUCUAUUUUUGUUUUUUUCCUUUUUUCUCUUUAUAUCAGGAUGGCCUAUAGUUGCCAACUUUGAUCACUUAUCAGUGGUUGCCUGACAUACUGUGUAGAAGGAUUCUGAGGCUUUGACUGGAUUCAUCAGGAGAGUGCUUUGCUUGAUUGCAAUAUUUCCUGUGAAUUCAGGCGUGUCACGUGAUGGCAUGAGUGUGAUUCUUCUCCAUCCUGUCUAUAGAUCAUCUUGCCCUGUGAUGUCAUAUAAACCCAAGGCUUUGGCAGCCUCCUAUAUGCUUACAGAUAUAUCUCCAGCCCAAGCUUCAUUUCCAAGUGUUGGAUUCCUAUAACCAGCUGCCUCUGGGUUCCAAUAAGAAAUCUCUAACUCAGUAUUUCAGUAUUACUCACCUAAAUCUUUCUCUGUAAACCUGUUUCUCCUCCCUGGAUUCCUUGUGAAUGAAUGGUAUCACCUCUCAGUCACUUGAUUAAGACUUUUGGAAGAAUAGGCUUCUCCAUUCUCCAAAAAGAUUUGCCUUUUUUGUCCUAUAGACUUGACUUCUCUGUGUUUACCACCUUAAUUCACCCCCUUAUCACUUCUCCAGAUAGGUCUCCCUGUUUCUCUGGUUUCCUCCAGUGUUCCACAGUGCUGCCAGAGAAAUGUUUCUUAGAUGUAAAUCUGACCAUUGCUACUUCUUAUUUAAGAUCCCUUACUGGUACUAUAUGUAGCUUUUGGGAUAAAGUGUGAACUACUUAGGUUAGCAUACAAAGUCCUUCAUGAUUUGCUCCCUGCUUCUCUUUCCAUUAUCUUCUGUCUCUUUCCCACCAGUGCCUUUUGUUUCAACCAUGGAACAAUUUUGUUGGUUUUAGAACAGCUGUUUUCAUGCCUCUGUGUCUUAUAUACGGUUACUCUGCCUGGAUAAUCUCUAGCUUCUUCUUGACAGCUAACAUCCUCUUCUGCCCCCAACAUUUUGUUUUAAAAAUUUUCAAACAUAUAGCUAAGUUGAAAGAAUUUUACAUUGAACAUUUGUGUUCUCAACCACUUAUAUUCUACCAUUAAUAUUUUAUUUUACUUAGCUUAUUACAUAUCAGUCUGUUUAUCCUGCUAUCAGAGUAAAUUGCAGAGAUCAAUAUACUUUACAUACUUUAGCAUGCAGUCAUUAACUGAGUUCAGUAUUUGUUUCAAUUUUUUCUUUUUAUGUAAAAUUUACAUACAAUGAAAUGUACAAUUUUAAGUGUACAUUUCAUAGCUUUUAACAAAUGGAAAAUAUCUGUAUAACCCAAAUAGAGAUCAUUACCACCAUUCUGGGAAGUUCCCUCAUGUUGCCUCCAAGUCAAAAUCUCUGUUCCUAUCCCCUCAGAGGUUUUUAACAUUUUUACCGAGGAUUAAUUUUUCUCUUUUAACCCAGCUGGUUUUUUACCCUUUAAGAUUCACUUUGAGCGUCACCUCUUCCAGGAAAUCUUCCCUGCUUUCCAAUUUUGAUUUAGAUAUUUGUCCUCUGGGCUCCCACAGCCCAAUCUGUGGCUUCAUUGAAUUCAGCACAAGGGAAAAGCUAUUCUAGCACCCAUCACACUGUGCUGUAAGUGAUGACUUCAUUGUCUGACUCCUGCUAGACUAUAGGUCAUUCAUAGCUGGAUUGGUAUCUUAUUGCUAAACACAAUGCUUGGCACAUAUGUAAUGUUCAGUGAAAGUUUGUGGAGUUAAACUACACAGACAGUGAUGGUUAGAGGCUUUGGUUAAGAGUAUGAUAGUUAAAUUGAUAGACCAGGAAUAAUGUUACAACUGUAACAUGUUGGUCUAGUUCAUCAUUAAUAUUUGUUGAAUGGCUUCAGUGUGCUUUGUCCUAAGUUCUUAGCAAAGUGACUGAUGAGUUUCAGAAAAAUGAAGACUCAGAUAUAUAAAGUGGAAGAUGGUACGUCUCAUAGGUUUUCUGAGUAACUGAGAAAAAGCAUUUGUUUAUUUUGUUAGUAUUUUAUUUUUAAAGUUUAAUUAAGUUAAAUUUUAUAUUUUAUUUUAAUUACCUGUCACUGACUUUAAGUCCAGUAUUUUGCUAGUAUUUUUAAACCACUGUUUGUGCUCUUCUUUCCUACCCACAUACCUUUUUGUUUUCCUCUCUCCUAAUCUGUCUUGUCUUGGUAGUACAUUUGGCCUGGUAGAUUCAGAUGGACCUUGCUAUGCAGUGAUGGUGUACAAUAUAGUGCAGAGCUGGGGAGUGCUCAUUGGAGACUCUGUAGCCAUUCCUGAGCCCAACCUGCGGCUUCACCGAAUUCAGCACAGAGGAAAGGACUAUUCCUUUUCCAGUGUUCGAGUGGAGACGCCCCUCCUGCUAGUGGUGAAUGGGAAGCCUCAGGGAUCCAGCAGCCAGGCUGUUGCCACAGUGGCAUCGCGACCACAGUGUGAAUGACCUUCUUUGACUUGCAUGCUCAACAGGGAGUGGAGGAGAGGAGACAAGGCCCUGGACAGCCGGUCCAGCCACAUCAGUGAUUCAGCAGGGAUGGGAGGAAUGUUCUAAAUGAAGACUUUCUCUUUCCCUGCCUGUAUUACACUUCAUAUCUCUUCUCUCUCCUCUGUCCUCAUCAUGUUCCAGCUCUCUACAGGGCCACAUACUCUUCUGGCAUAUCUCUCCUGUCUCUUCCACUGCUCUCUAUGUUUUCAGCAAAGAGCAUGGAAUUGGUAGAAGUCUUGGGAUGUUGCCAUGGGACAGAGUCCCCAAGGUUCCUGUUGUUGCCUCCUUCGUAAGCCUCAUAUGUAUAUAUCAGUUCAGUAUUUAUUGCUAAAGGAGGGGGCUUAAUUUUGUAAAGGCUUUUAUUUUUAGCAAUUUUUAUUUUUAUUUUUGAAAUUUAGGUCCUUCCUCUUCUUUGGGGCUGGAACAGAAUUAAAUUUGUUUGAAAACAAAACAAAACAA